rnacentral:tRNA from 1 species
GCCCCGGUAAUCUAGUGGGUUAGAGCGCCGUACUUAAAAUGCGGAGGUCGAGAGUUCGAACCUCUCUCGGGUCA